GUGGGGAAUAUUGGACAAUGGGCGCAAGCCUGAUCCAGCCAUGCCGCGUGAGUGAUGAAGGCCUUAGGGUUGUAAAGCUCUUUCAGUGGGGACGAUAAUGACGGUACCCACAGAAGAAGCCCCGGCUAACUUCGUGCCAGCAGCCGCGGUAAUACGAAGGGGGCUAGCGUUGUUCGGAUUUACUGGGCGUAAAGCGCACGUAGGCGGAUCGUUAAGUCGGGGGUGAAAUCCUGGAGCUCAACUCCAGAACUGCCUUCGAUACUGGCGAUCUUGAGUCCGGAAGAGGUGAGUGGAACUCCUAGUGUAGAGGUGGAAUUCGUAGAUAUUAGGAAGAACACCAGUGGCGAAGGCGGCUCACUGGUCCGGUACUGACGCUGAGGUGCGAAAGCGUGGGGAGCAAACAGGAUUAGAAACCCUUGUAGUCC
rnacentral:rRNA from 1 species